rnacentral:rRNA from 1 species
CACGUAGGGGGCGAGCGUUGUCCGGAUUUAUUGGGCGUAAAGAGCUCGUAGGCGGCUCAGUAAGUCGGGUGUGAAAACUCCAGGCUCAACCUGGAGACGCCACCUGAUACUGCUGUGGCUAGAGUCCGGUAGGGGAGCAUGGAAUUCCUGGUGUAGCGGUGAAAUGCGCAGAUAUCAUGAGGAAGACCAGUGGCGAAGGCGGGUCUCUGGACAGUUCCUGACACUGAGGCACGAAGGCCAGGGGAGCAAACGGG